rnacentral:lncRNA from 1 species
CUAGAGCCACUAUACUAUGUUAGCUAUGCUACCCUAGUGUGAGGUGAUUUAGGUUUUAUAAAUUUUGUUGAUAACACUCGUCUGAGCCAGAAUCAAAUGGCAUGACUACAAUGGGGAUGAACCAAACACCUGUAUGCCCACCUUCAAGGGUGACCCUAUUGCUUCCAUUCAUUGAAAAAUGACAAUCAACAAAAUAAUCAACCUACAAAAACACAAACGCAAUAAGAAAAGCUAAGGUGUUUUCACUUGCAAAAUCUAGAAAAUUUUACACUAAUUAGCUUGAAUGAAUUUAUACAUUAACAAUAAGUUCUUCCCAAGAAAACCUAAACUUGGAAACUCAAGGAACCAAUCCCAAAAACUUAUCACUUCCUGCUAUGUUCCAAGGAGCUAGAAGUAAAUUUAGGGCUUUGCUUCUACUUAACAUCAUGUUCAUCUAACAAUUCUAAUAUCAAAAUCAAAACAUGCAAAUCUUUUGGCCUUGAUAGUGUAGGAUCAUCAAGAUCAAUAUUAAGUGUAGAAUGAAUGGGUAAAACUGCUAUAAAAAUUCUUAUGCAAAUUAUUUUCCUACAAGAAAACAAUAUCAUGGAUAAAUAAAAGACAAUAUCAAAUAUUGAUUCAUAUAAAUAACGGAUAAUCUAAAUUGAAAACUUAAAAGUUUUUUUUUUUUUUUUUUUUUUAAAAAAAAGACAUUUGUCCCUACAUACAAUGGCUAAUUCAACCAUAACCUUUUCAUUUAUUUUCUUAAUAAUUUAUCAGAUGGCAAAUGCUACAAAAGUUUAAAACUUUUUCUUAACAAAUAUUUUUCUUCUCACUUAGCAAAUUGAAGCAUGAACUUAUUAAGUAUGCUUGAAGCCUUAAAAGAAUAGCAUCCUAAAUAUCUAGUGACAUCAUAAAUUUGACAAAGCCACUCUAGCAUCCUUCAAAAAAUAGUUUUAGGGAUCUCAUUGCCUCUAGUAACUACAUAUUGCGAAUCAUCCAUAAAAAUCAAGCAAAUAAGCAAAUCAAAUAGCAUGGUCCCAGAUUCCUAUUAAAAAUAUAUGAGAAUGAGCACAGUGGAAGAUCCAAGGCCAUAUAAACCCAUUCACCAAGCUUAAAUAACAGUGCAUGAUCAUUGCAUCAGAAAAUUAACUAAAAAAAUUAGUAGUAACCAGAAGUUCUAACAAUCCAUGGCUUCAAUUAAGCAUAUCCAAAAUAAACAAUAAGAGUGCAAAAAAGAAUAACCAUCCACAAAAAAAAAAAAAAAACCUUCUUUUAAUUUACUAAGCCCUAAUUUUUCAAUAAUAAAUCUAAAAAUAGAAAUGCCAAAAAUUUUCCCUCUUUUUCCCUUCUUCCCUCAUCCACCAAACAACUAGCGACACAUUCUUAACACACUCCAUCCAUCAUUAUCCAACUACAUCCAAUUUCAUCAACAUAUAAAAACACAAAUCAAAAUAACAACAACAAAACAAAAUCACAAAAUGAACGAUACAAGCAUGAUUAGAAUAGCUAUGAAAAAAGAUAUUCACCUGUUGAUGGCAACGAAGAGAGAGACUAACAACUAGAGCCUUAGAGAGAGAACGACAGAGCACCUACAACUCCCCAUGUCCCUGAAUCUACACCGUGAAGUUGUGAGUUGACAAUUUUCUCCAUUUUGGUCACAUGAAUCUUGAGAUUCUUGAGGGUUUAUGGGAAAAUAAGAGGUUAGCAUCAUGAGAUUUGGGUUUCUGAGAUGAGAGGAAAAUGGGGCAAAAGUUAGGGUUUUUCGAGUUUUUUUUCGGUAACUAUGAAUAAGAAGAAAACAAACUGUCAGGGUUUGGCUUUGAGGUUUCUGGAGCAAAAUUUUGAGGAAAAUUUCAUAUGUGGGAUUAGAGCAAAAUGAGAGGAAGAAUUUUUGAGAAAGUGAG